CGGGCCUCUUCUCUUCUCUCCCAGAGUGACCCCAGAGGCUCUGGGGGCCCCGCCAGCGACAGUCGCGGAAGCACAGUCUCUCGUUCUGCUGUGGGUGUGGGGACCUGUUUUAUAACAGCACAUGUGCUGUUUGUUAUUGGACAGAAUUACUAAUAGUCAGGAUCAGGCGGAUGUUUACGUCUUGAGUGUUGACAGUCGUUUAUAAAAUGUUCGCAAACAAUGAUUUUAAGCGGAAUGUAGCUUUCUGAAAAAUUUGCAUAUCCUUCUUUUUCAUACUUCGUCUUAGAAAGAUGAAAACUUGGCAAAGCCUUUUGCAAAUAUUUUUUCCAUUAGAGAAAAUGAAUUACUAACUCUGAUCUUGAGCUUUACUCAGCUGUGAGAUGAGAAGUUUUGCUUUAAAUUUCCCUGAGGUCUUACCAAACCUAUGUGUUCUGUGUUUCCUGCUUUUAUAUCGCCCCUUGCCUGGAAUAUACUUCAGAAUCCUAUAGGGCGGGGGAGUCUGGAGGAAACUCGGUUGGCCAGGAGUCGAUCAUUACUGAAGCCUGGUGCUGGGGACAUGAAGUCCACUGUGGUUUGGAACUCACAGCUCUCUGCUGACGGCAGACCUGAGGCUUGUCUGGCAUCCCUUCUCCAACUGAGUCCAUGGGACAGCGGUCACCGCACUGCCCCCAGCCCCGACCAGGACCGCACUGCCCACCGCUGCUAUGAGAGGAGACGUGCCUUGUUGCAUCCAGGGACACGGCUCAGCCCCCCAAACGGCAGCCAGCCGUCAGGAACGCGUGUGUCGUGGGUGGUGCUCUCACCGCCCGGCACAGCUAGAGGAGAGCCAAGAAUCUGCUAACGGAAGGACAGUUUGACAUUUUGUUUGUUUUCUGUUUUAAUGCCUGGUGAUAUUUACUUUGGGAUCAUAGAGGAUGGUAAAUGGUUGGAAUUGGGAAAUAACGACAAAGUGAUUCUGAAACCAGGCAGCAUCUUAGAGUUGACAAAGCUGCUGCCACGUGAGUUAGGCAACGGGGUACAUUUAAUUAAAUGUGGUGCUUUGGGAAGGAAAUUACGAUGUCAGGGUUUUUAAGACGUUUCCCACAGAGUAGUUUAUGACUUUUACAAAUGAAAAAAUAUAAAAGAUGCAGAAAAUUCCUAACUGAAAAUAACGUUUUACAUAUAUGCAUGACAGAGGAUGAGACGGCUGGAUGGCAAAACCGACUCAGACAUGAGUUUGGGUAAACUCCGUGAGCUGGUGAUGGAAAGGGAGGCCUGGCGUGCUGCGAUUCAUGGGGUCGCAAAGAGUCGGACAGGACUGAGCGACUGAACUGAACUGAACUGAUGUUUAAAAAAAGAGGAAGUAUGUUUGGAAGAAUAGUAAUAAGGCAAACAUGCAGCCUAUAAGGAGAGAGCUGCAAGAUUUCAACUGCACGCCCUUUUAAAACUGCACAACACGGGAGCGGAAUCCGACAAGCGCAUGUACACGUGUAACUGAUGGGCUUUGCUGCGUGGCGGAAAGUGACAGCACUGUGAUCAACUACACUCCCCAAAUAAAACAUUUGAAAAAGAAAAACA
ensembl:lncRNA